GUGAUCCUUCUGCCACACUCAGGAAUUGGGAAGUGGGACCUGAGGCUGGAAAGCCAUGCAAGGCCACAUGCAGGCACUUAAAAAAAUUUUUUUUCACCUUGCAGGGGUUCAGAACUCAGGGACACUUUAUCACUAAGUUGCAUACGUCCCCAGCUCUUUUAAAACUUUGAGACAGGGUCCUGCUAAAUUGCCCAAGCUGCCCUUGAACUUGCAGUCUGGCUGCCUCAGCCUCCUGAGUAGCUGGGAUUACAGGCAUGGGCCACGAGCCCUGCCUUGAGUGCAGGUGGAGGGCGAACUUGAUCCUGUGAAGGCAGCAUUUGAUCCAACAAAAUGGGAGGGCAGGUCAGUGUGUGUGAAAAAGGUGUUUUUAAGGACAACUAGUCUGGGAGCAACGCGUCGGCCGAGGGAGACCACUUGGAGGCAUUCACAAGAAACCAGGCAGACAUCAGGUCGCAGUGCUGGAGUGUUAAGAGGAAAACUAGAAACCAACAGCAAGAGGAGUGAAAUUGUUCAUAGAAUACAGGAAUCUCCCAUGAUAACAGAAUUACUCUGUGAAGUGGUUAUUGUAAUUGACGCUCACCUGCAGUCAGUUUCUUCACAGCUUCACCAACACGAGGAGCUAGAAAACUAGAGAAGCAACAGUGAGGAGCCAGAGGGCUGCACUUCCUUUCUCAAGACCCAGAAACAACGGAGCGAGACCCAGAUUCCUG
rnacentral:lncRNA from 1 species